AUGAAGCAAUCAAGCAAGCGACUAUACAUACCCUCACCGAAACCUUGCUAUCCAAACUCAAAAUACUCCUACUCGGCCGAAGCCUCGUCUGCUGCCCCUUCCGCUGGCGCCGCCCCUGCGCCGCCUACGAGCUACGGCAACGACAUGCCCGCGCGUCCCCAUCGGCAGAAGAAGCCUAAGGCGGGCCUGAAGCUGAACUUCGACGGCUCAUCGAAGGGCAAGUCCGGGAGCGCGACCAUCGGCGGCGUGUACCGCGACGGCGAGGGGAACUUUUUGCUCGGCUAUGCGGGGCGCAUCGGCAAGGCGACGAGCUCAGUGGCCGAGCUUGUCGCGCUCAAGUACGGGCUCAAGCUCGCGGUGAAGAACCGCUGGAGUGACAUCUCGAUCGAGGGCGAUUUCAAGGCCGCCGUCGACGCCAUCGCGAGCCGCGCGCGGUUCAGGGCGAAGGAGGACAAGGAGCAGUUCACGGAGAUCGCCAAGAUGCUCCCUCGGCUCGGCAAGGUGAGUGUCAGGCACGUGGGCCGCGCAGGAAAUCGGGUGGCCCACUGCUUCGCCAACCUCGGCCACAAGACGGCGCAGCAGCGGCUGUGGCGCGAAGCCCCGCCAGCCGAGGUGCUCCUGCACCUUCAGCGAGAUGCCGAGGUUCCCUCCAAGAAGAAGAAGAAGAAUGAGGAGGGGAAGAAGAAGAAGAAGCGAGAUGCCAAGGACCCUUCCAAGAAGAAGAAGGAUGAUGAGGAGAAGAAGAACCCGAAGAAGAAUACGAAGCGAGAUGCCAUGAACCCCUCCAAGAAGAAGAAGAGGAAGAGAGAUACCAUGGACCCCUGCAAGAAGAAGAAGAAAAAGAAGAAGAAUGAGGAGAAGAACCAGAAGAAGAAGAGGAAGCGAGGGAAAAUAGCUUUACCCCCUGAAAAGAAAAAAAUCUGA
rnacentral:rRNA from 1 species